rnacentral:lncRNA from 1 species
GCAUUACUCUUUACUAAAUUGAUUUUUUAAGGAAGACAGAUGUAACAUUUUCACUGUUUUAGUGUUUUCCAGAUUUUUUCUCAGAGUCUUAUGCUUUGAAACGUGCUGUGAAUAUUUUAUUAUAUGACUUAAUUUGUUCUAAUUGUGAAAGAUUCAGAAAGGCAUUCAUUUGUGUAAACAGAAUACUAAGAUUCCCUCUCUGAAUAUGGAGACCAGAUACUUACUUGCUGUGCAGUUCUCAUAGUUCUGUGACCCAUAUCUCAGUGGAUAAUGAUUCACAUAGCAACCCUAUCUGCAAGAUGAGAAAUAUGAGGCACAUCCAGGUUAAGAAACUUAACUAAGCCACACAGAAAAUGGCAGAAUUGGGAAAUCAGCACAGGCAGCCAGAUUCCACAAAUAUUACCUCUCAAUAUGAAAACCCACUUCCAACAGCACUUUUGGCCUCUACAACUUGGAUCUGUAUUGUAACCACCAUUAGACCCUCCUCAGACAUGACAACUGGACUUCUCAGCUGCAUAGAGACCUUUGUAUCAUCUUCAAACUUCUUGUUCCUAUGGUGGUAAGUCCAAGUCCUGAUCUAAUGCUCUGGACAAAUGUCUGUUGAAGCGUGAUGAGGAAUAAUUUUGUUUCUUACAAUUUUGAGUACAUACUGGAACUAAGUUAGACAACCUCCCCACUCGCCCCAGACUUCUAAUGAAAGGAAUCUGCUUGAAUGGAUGUCCCUGAUGGCUUCUUGUUUUGAGUAGGGCUCAUACCCUGACUCCUGAGCUAGAACAAAGUUUUUUUUUUUCUUCCUGCCUCUUUUUUCUAACUGACAUAUAACAUAUUAAUUUUAGGUGUACAACAUAAUGAUUUGAUAUGUAUUUUUUAUUGUGAAAAGAUUACUAUAAUACAUUUAGUUAACAUCCAUC